rnacentral:rRNA from 1 species
AUUGAACGCUGGCGGCAGGCCUAACACAUGCAAGUCGAACGGUAACAGGAAGAAGCUUGCUUCUUUGCUGACGAGUGGCGGACGGGUGAGUAAUGUCUGGGAAACUGCCUGAUGGAGGGGGAUAACUACUGGAAACGGUAGCUAAUACCGCAUAACGUCGCAAGACCAAAAAGGGGGACCUUCGGGCCUCUUGCCAUCGGACGUGCCCAGAUGGGAUUAGCUAGUAGGUGGGGUAACGGCUCACCUAGGCGACGAUCCCUAGCUGGUCUGAGAGGAUGACCAGCCACACUGGAACUGAGACACGGUCCAGACUCCUACGGUAGGCAGCAGUGGGGAAUAUUGCACAAUGGGCGCAAGCCUGAUGCAGCCAUGCCGCGUGUAUGAAGAAGGCCUUCGGGUUGUAAAGUACUUUCAGCGGGGAGGAAGGGAGUAAAGUUAAUACCUUUGCUCAUUGACGUUACCCGCAGAAGAAGCACCGGCUAACUCCGUG